rnacentral:tRNA from 1 species
GCCGGCGUGGUGGAACUGGUAGACGCGCACGCCCCGCAAGCGUGUGGGCGAAAGCCCGUGUGAGUGCGGCUGCGGAAACCCGCCUUCGGCGGUCCUCGCCGUGCUUCGCAACGAAUCUCACCGCCGGCA